GGAUGUGAGGGGCGAUUUGACUGUGACAUCUGUCACCCCGUUGAUCGCCAGGGUUGAUUUGGCUGAUCUGGCUGGCUAGGCGGGUGUCCCCUCCAACCUCACUGCUCCAUGUGCCUCCCUCCCUAAGCUGCGCACUCAGUUGAAGGGGACGGCCUACCCUGAAUAGAAAUGGAUCCGUCUUUGGUGGAGGGUAUAGGAGUAGCUGCUCUAGAACCUCCAAACAAGCUUUCAAAAGUAAGCCAUGAGCACUAUCGGGUGUGGCCCCAAAACAAAAACAAAAACAAAAAACCCAACCUU
rnacentral:snRNA from 1 species